rnacentral:rRNA from 1 species
ACUGAACGCUGGCGGCAUGCCUUACACAUGCAAGUCGAACGGCAGCACGGGUGCUUGCACCUGGUGGCGAGUGGUGAACGGGUGAGUAAUACAUCGGAACGUACCUUAUCGUGGGGGAUAACGCAGCGAAAGCUGUGCUAAUACCGCAUACGCCCUGAGGGGGAAAGCGGGGGAUCGCAAGACCUCGCGCGAUUAGAGCGGCCGAUGCCUGAUUAGCUUGUUGGUGGGGUAAAAGCCCACCAAGGCGACGAUCAGUAGCUGGUCUGAGAGGACGAUCAGCCACACUGGGACUGAGACACGGCCCAGACUCCUACGGGAGGCAGCAGUGGGGAAUUUUGGACAAUGGGGGCAACCCUGAUCCAGCAAUGCCGCGUGAGUGAAGAAGGCCUUCGGGUUGUAAAGCUCUUUUGUCAGGGAAGAGACACCGGCUCUAACACAGUCUGGGAAUGACGGUACCUGAAGAAUAAGCACCGGCUAACUACGUGCCAGCCGCCGCGGUAA